rnacentral:rRNA from 1 species
AGUGAACGCUGGCGGUAGGCCUAACACAUGCAAGUCGAACGGCAGCACAGUAAGAGCUUGCUCUUACGGGUGGCGAGUGGCGGACGGGUGAGGAAUACAUCGGAAUCUACUUUUUCGUGGGGGAUAACGUAGGGAAACUUACGCUAAUACCGCAUACGACCUACGGGUGAAAGCAGGGGAUCUUCGGACCUUGCGCGAUUGAAUGAGCCGAUGUCGGAUUAGCUAGUUGGCGGGGUAAAGGCCCACCAAGGCGACGCUCCGGAGCAGUUAUGGGAGGAUGACCACCCACACUGUAAGUGAGAACCGGCCCACACCCCGGCGGGGGGACACGGUGGGGAAUAUUGGAGAAGGGGCGCAAGCGGGAUCCAGCAAAAUCGGGGGAGGGAGGAGGGCCUUCGGUUUGUAAAGCCAUUUUGUUGGGAAAGAAAAAAAGCGCUUGUAUCCCCGGUGAUCCUGACGUUACCCAAAGAAUAAGCCCCGGCUAACUCCGUG